rnacentral:lncRNA from 10 species
AACCCGUGAUUGCUGGGACUGGCUCAAGCUCCACCAGGAGCCGUCGUUCUUUUACAAAGAGGGGUGGAGGUUCCAGUGGAGGCUGUUGUUGCCUUUUUUUUUUUUUUUUUAAUGAAUGGAGGGCGGCGGCGACUGCUGCAGCUGGGCCAGCUGCGCGGGCUGCACCCCCUCCCAGCCUGCGAGAGGAGGAAGCUAGUAGAAGAUUUGUACCAACAAAACCAAGGAGUAAACAACUUGAGAAUAACUGCAUGAGCUCAGAUAAGGAAACUGAGUCUCAGGGAGGUCAAG